GGCUGCAUCUCCUAUAGCUGUCGGCUAUCUAAACUUGAAACAAAACUCUGUAACAUCUUACUGGACUAGUUCUUCGAACAACCACACCUUGAACUAACUACUCUUCGGUCAGGUUUUUUUUCCACCCCCACUUCUAUCCUUAUUGGAAGAACUUUUUGAUCUGCACCAUAUAGGAAUGGUGCAUGGCGAGCUACCCACGAACUCUCAAUGAAAAACUUGAUUUACGAACCUAGGAAAAAGGAACUUCGCAAAAGACGCCAUACCCAAAGGAAAAAGGAACUUUGAACACCAAAGACUGAAAAAUAUCCUUGUGGAUCCCUGGACACUCCUUUCUACAGUGUCUAAAAUUAUUGUUUUGUUAUUUGUUUUCUUUGUUUAAAUACAGUCAAUUGAUUGCUUU